UACGUAGGGGGGCUAGCGUUGUCCGGAUUUAUUGGGCGUAAAGAGCGUGUAGGCGGCCAUGUAGGUCCGGUGUGAAAACUCGAGGCUUAACCUCGAGAUGUCAUCGGAAACCAUUUGGCUAGAGUCCGGAAGAGGAGAGUGGAAAUUCCUGGUGUAGCGGUGAAAUGCGCAGAUAUCAGGAAGAACACCAAUGGCGAAAGCAGCUCUCUGGGACGGUACUGACGCUGAGACGCGAAAAGCGUGGGGAGCAAACAGG
rnacentral:rRNA from 1 species